GACGAACGCUGGCGGCGUGCUUAACACAUGCAAGUCGAACGGAAAGGCCCUGCUUUUGUGGGGUGCUCGAGUGGCGAACGGGUGAGUAACACGUGAGUAACCUGCCCUUGACUUUGGGAUAACUUCAGGAAACUGGGGCUAAUACCGGAUAGGAGCUCCUGCUGCAUGGUGGGGGUUGGAAAGUUUCGGCGGUUGGGGAUGGACUCGCGGCUUAUCAGCUUGUUGGUGGGGUAGUGGCUUACCAAGGCUUUGACGGGGAGCCGGCCUGAGAGGGUGACCGGCCACAUUGGGACUGUGAUACGGCCCAGACUCCUACGGGAGGCAGCAGUGGGGAAUAUUGCACGAUGGGAGGAAGCCUGAUGCAGCAACGCCGCGUGCGGGAUGACGGCCUUCGGGUUGUAAACCGCUUUCGCCUGUGACGAAGCGUGAGUGACGGUAAUGGGUAAAGAAGCACCGGCUAACUACGUG
rnacentral:rRNA from 1 species